GACGAACGCUGGCGGCGUGCUUAACACAUGCAAGUCGAACGAUGACGCCUUAGCUUGCUUUGGUGGAUUAGUGGCGCACGGGUGAGUAACACGUGAGCAACGUGCCCAGGACUCUGGAAUAACCGCGGGAACCCGUGGCUAAUACCGGCUAGGUGCCGAGGCCGCAUGGUCUUCGGUUGGAAAGUUUUUGCGGUUCUGGAUCGGCUCACGGCCUAUCAGCUUGUUGGUGGGGUAAUGGCCUACCAAGGCGACGACGGGUAGCCGGCAUGAGAGGGUGACCGGCCACACGGGGACUGAGACACGGCGCAGACUCCUACGGGAGGCAGCAGUGGGGAAUAUUACACAAUGGGCGCAAGCCUGAUGCAGCAACGCCGCGUGGGGGAUGACGGCCUGCGGGUUGUAAACCUCUUUUAGUAGGGAAGAAGCGCAAGUGACGGUACCUGAAGAAAAAGCACCGGCUAACUACGUG
rnacentral:rRNA from 1 species